UACGUAGGGUGCGAGCGUUGUCCGGAAUUAUUGGGCGUAAAGAGCUCGUAGGCGGUCUGUCGCGUCGAUCGUGAAAACUUGGGGCUUAACCCUGAGCUUGCGGUCGAUACGGGCAUGACUGGAGUUCGGCAGGGGAGACUGGAAUUCCUGGUGUAGCGGUGAAAUGCGCAGAUAUCAGGAGGAACACCGGUGGCGAAGGC
rnacentral:rRNA from 1 species